UACGGAGGGGGCUAGCGUUGUUCGGAAUUACUGGGCGUAAAGCGCGCGUAGGCGGAUUGUUAAGUCGGGGUGAAAUCCCAGGGCUCAACCCCGGAACUGCCUUCGAUACUGGCAAUCUGGAGUUCGAGAGAGGUGAGUGGAAUUCCGAGUGUAGAGGUGAAAUUCGUAGAUAUUCGGAGGAACACCAGUGGCGAAGGCGGCUCACUGGCUCGAUACUGACGCUGGGGUGCGAAAGCGUGGGGAGCAAACAGG
rnacentral:rRNA from 1 species